UGUAGUCAUAUGCUUGUCUCAAAGAUUAAGCCAUGCAUGUCUAAGUAUAAGCAACUAUACGGUGAAACUGCGAAUGGCUCAUUAAAUCAGUUAUCGUUUAUUUGGUAGUACCUUACUACAUGGAUAACCGUGGCAAUUCUAGAGCUAAUACAUGCUAAAAACCCCGACUUCGGAAGGGGUGUAUUUAUUAGAUAAAAAACCAAUGCCCUUCGGGGCUCCUUGGUGAAUCAUAAUAACUUAACGAAUCGCAUGGCCUUGCGCCGGCGAUGGUUCAUUCAAAUUUCUGCCCUAUCAACUUUCGAUGGUAGGAUAGUGGCCUACCAUGGUAUCAACGGGUAACGGGGAAUG
rnacentral:rRNA from 1 species